rnacentral:rRNA from 1 species
GGGUGAUUAACACGCGGGUAACCUACCCUUGGGUUCGGGACAACCCCGCGAAAGCGGGGCUAAUACCGGAUGUGAUCUGGAGGUCUCCGGACUUCCAGAUGAAAGAUGGGGACCCCUUCGGGGGCCUGUCACCCUUGGAUGGGCCCGCGGCCUAUUAGCUAGUUGGUGAGGUAACCGCUCACCAAGGCGAUGAUGGGUAGCUGGUCUGAGAGGAUGGUCAGCCACACUGGGACUGAGACACUGCCCAGACUCCUACGGGAGGCUGCAGUCGAGAAUCUUUCGCAAUGGGGGCAACCCUGACGAAGCGACGCCGCGUGUGGGAUGAAGGCCUUCGGGUUGUAAACCACUGUCACAAGGGACGAAACGCGAUUCCGUGAACAACGGAAACGCCUGACGGUACCUUGAGAGGAAGCCACGGCUAACUCUGUGCCAGCAGCCGCGGUAAUACAGAGGUGGCGAGCGUUGUUCGGAUUCAUUGGGUGUAAAGGGUUCGUGGGCGGCUUUGCAAGUCAGGUGUGAAAUCUUGCGGCUCAACCGCAAAACUGCAUUUGAUACUGCCGAGCUAGAGCGCGAUAGAGGAAGAUGGAAUUCCCGGUGUAAGGGUGAAAUCUUCAGAUAUCGGGAGGAACACCAGUAGCGAAGGCGAUCUUCUGGGUCGUUGCUGACGCUGAAGAACGAAAGCUGGGGGAGCAAACAGGAUUAGAUACCCUGGUAGUCCCAGCCGUAAACGAUGAGGACUAGGUGUUGGCCCCGUACUGGGGUCGGUGCCGCAGCUAACGCAUUAAGUCCUCCACCUGGGGAGUACGACCGCAAGGUUGAAACUCAAAGGAAUUGACGGGGACCC